ACUAGAGAUCUAGUCCAUUACUGGCUCUGUGCUUACUGAGAGUGAAUGCAGUAAAGAGGCUGUUGGAGCCGAUGGGUUCUGAGGAUCUGGUCCACGCUAUAGAUCAGACCUUAUGGAGUUUGGCUCUGACAAACUGCAUAAUAGCAUUUAUGAAUCUGUCAUAUUGAAAGGCAAUAGAGGACACAAAACUGAUAUUUCCAGGGGUUGUGGUGCACAGAAACAUCAAAUAUGAGACACGAACAGAUCCUGAUCCAAAUUUGGAACAAGAGCAAUCGCCUGUUAAGGACAAAUUUCACUCAAAAUCAGGAUUCAGGCAAGUCAAGGCAUUCACCCACAUUCUCAGCCAACUAUAAGGGCAUCAUAACACAGAGCCAAUGAAACAACACACAUAAAAACUUGUUGAUGUUUUACUAGCUGCAACGACCUUUGAAAUUAGGGCAGGAACUGUUGUUAUUUAUUUGUGUUUUGGUGCAGGCAGAGCCUUUAGUCUCCAGUGCUCUGUGCCAGACCAUCUGACUGUUGAUACCUUCCAACCUCAUGCAGCAGAGUCAGACUCCUCUUUACUCAGAUUUACUAGACAGGCUGCUUAGGACAGACUGCCACCUGGUGGCUGGAAGGCUUGCAAUCCAGAUGAGAGUCAAAGGCACAUAUCUGAGCUACUGAGGUCCCCUGCUGAUGGAGCAUUUCAUGCGAGUUGGCUUUCUUAACCAGUUACGCCAACACCAUUUUGAUUAAAUGCAAUAAAAUAUUGAGUGUCUAUUUUUGUGUUGUAUCCAGGGAUCACUUCUAUCCGAGUGUCCUUGUCUUAUCAUUGCUUUGCAAAAGGACAAUGCUGUCACCUGCUGUGAUACCCUUCUUGAGAGUAUUUGUGGGGAGUGACUUGACUUUGAGAGAAUUAGGAUGAAACUUCUUUUCUCCAAACUCUGAAAGUGGGGCAAGAAAUGUUAAUCACAGUAAGCGUUUUACAUUUGUCUUUUUAAACAUUUUCUAUAAUUCCCCAUAAACUUGUUUAUGUCUGCAGGAAGAGAAACUGAUGUGUUUACCUGUUCAACAUUUCCUGUCCUGACAGGCAUCACAGAAGUGUACCAUGAUAACCAGUAGUUAGUACUCAUUGGUGAAUUUGUACUUAUAUAUAUAUAUAAAUAAAA